CUUUAUAUAUAAGAUAAACUUAUGUUUUGAUUUGUAAAUUUGUAUUUGGCGCUUGGUAGAGUGAGUGUAUGAAUAAGUCUUUUCCAAAUAGUGGUGGGGCCAAAAACUCAAUAUCAAGAACUGAUGGGAUUGGCCGCAUGGCUUUAAAUUGGAUCUCUCAUGGAGUAGGAUUCUCUUCUUCUUUUUUUUCACUCUCAUUCGCUCAUCUCUUAUUUGAACGAUUACGAUUAAGCCACGUCAACAUCUUAUAUUAAUUUUUUUAUAGCAAGAGAAAGACAAAAUAAGAAAAUGUGAGAGGAGAGGAUGGAAGGGGAUGGAAAGAGGAGGGGAGAGAAUCUUAAUUCCCAUCAGAUGGUCAAAUACUCAAUAGCCAACCACAACCCAUGUGUAUAUUCAACUUAGCAAUCAUUGUAUAUGGAUUUAGCGUUGUUCAAUAAUCUAAACUUGUUCAGAUGCGUGGACGAUUGAGAGUAGAAGAUAUACAAAUAACUUUCAAUUAUACACCAUGAAUAACCUACUAUGGCACAAAUCAUUCUAUGUUCACUCCACAACGAAGUUUCAUGAGACGAUGAGGAUUGCAUCGAGGAUUUAGCAUAGAAGAUAUUUCAUUAACUCGGAUGCAAAGGUACUAAUACAACAAACUCUACCAAGAAAUGAGCAACUGACGGACAAUUACUUUUACUGCGUGUUUUUUCCCUCACGAAGUUGGCAGCAGUGAGAGAGAGAGAGAGAGAGAGAGUGUGUGUGCAGUUGCUUCAGAUGUUGGAAAACUUGAGUGCAACUUUGAACUUAAAUUUUACUCCAACUUCACAAAGUUGUUGGCUGUGACAUUGUGUGUAUUUACAUCCCACCACCCAUUUGAAAUUAGGAGGAGAGGUGACGGGUAAAAAGUUUUCAGGAGUCAGGAUGGGCGUGCUUGGAGAGGGCAUCGCCAGCCUUGAAGGGAAUCCUGCUCAAACGACACUGAAAACAACAGCAGCUCCAUCCAUCGUAAUCAGCGCCUAACGAAACCUUUGGCAGACAGUUGCAGAAUCGUUGACCCUCCACAACUGUAAACAGAAGGAAAAUUUAUAUCAACAAAUAUGGGAAGAAAAAUGGUCAUAUCAGAUGAUAUACAAUUUCUAAAGCUUACAUAGUCUUCGGUUUUCAUCAAUCCACUUGUGACAACAAGUCCAUAGAGAUUGAUCAUCACUUGUACGAAUUUGGGUCCGUGGAAUACCAUAUCCAGGUGAGUCCUCAGUACGCGCAAACUGAAUUCGAAAUAUUCUAAUUGAUCUCUAUGUUCAGUGUUCAUUUUUUGCUUCCUUUCGCAAUAUUAGCAUUCUAGAAUCUAGGAAUUUAACCUGUUCUUUACUCAAUAUAUGAAGAAAGUAAUAUGUUGUGACUUGUGAGUGACAAAUACCUCAUCUUAUAUGGGUUUCCAAGCAGGUAUUUUGGUAUAUUUUCUGAUGAUUUUUGUGUAAUAAAACAGUCUUCAGCAUCAGAUACACAUUAUAUCUACUCGUCAGUGUCAAUCCCGCUCCUUUCCCAGGGAGUCAUGCUUCCAUAUGGGAUUUCGCAUAAUACUAAACAGAUGGUAAAGGGAAUUCGUCCUGACAUUGUGGAGAUCAUUGAACCUGCAAAAGAAGGAUACCACCUUACUUUAAGACUUGAUUUUUCUAAAAUUUCAAAUGGAAAAGGUUUGAUAAUUGUUCACAUCAUCCCAAUAAAUAAUAUAUAUGAAUCACACCGAGAUGAUUGCGAAUUUCAGUUUGUACAGAUCAAUGCUCACCUUGAUAGCAAAAGAACAAAAUAAACAAAAUAAUGAAAUUCUGUAACCACUUACACUAACAAUGCUUUCUUGAAUUCCAAGCUUCUUCUUCCUCCAAUCCCUAAAACCAGGCAUUAAAUAAAGAUGACAGAACGUGUCAACAUGGCAACACACCACGAGCCAAGGGGAAAGUCUCAAAACAAGUCUGACAAGUAUAUUGGAAGGCAGCUAUGUCAUAUAUUUAACCAGUAUGACUGUAUAACGAAGUUUUCUUGCUGUACCGUUGAUGCUAACAAUGUAUUCAUGCGUUUAUUUUUGUUCUUUCUCUAGAUUCUGCGAAGGUAAUUGCAGAGAUUGCUGCCGUGCAGGCAGUAAUGGUAAGUUCCCAGCUGAAAGAAAUGUUGACGAAUGUCAACUCUCAAGAUACAUCCCAAGGAAUGUAUAAGCCACUCAAACUUGAAUAUCACCCAAAAGAGCCUUUCUUUAUUAUUAGACAGAUAAUUUCCACAAUGAAAUCAUUAGCAAAAUCAAGAAAAGUGCUGAUUCAACUGAGAUCUGAUUGAUCUACUGCAUAUUUCUAAUGUACAAUGACAAUAUUCAUGUUUUGACAGCCACAGAAAGUCAUUGCAUUAUUCCCGAUACGUUUCGAAGGCAAAAUAGAUGUCAUUAUUGUAACAGCAUUCUUUCAGGAACUUAUGGAUGUUGGAAGUUCUGAAAAAUGGAGGAAAGCGCCACCUUGUUGCUGAUCACCCAUUCCAGCUCCAGAUUUAAGAGGAGGAACUUUCGAAGAUUUGAGAACAUAUAGAGGAUUUGUCUCUUUCGGUAUCUUCUUAGACUCCAAUCUAAGUACUAAAAGUAUAAACUUUCCUCUUAAUCACUACAGAUUAUAAACUUUCCGGUAACUAAGUUGCUUAUUUAGCUUAUGGUUGAUUUUCCACAUACGAGAUAAAACAUCAGGUAUACUCAGUUUAAUACAUUUGGUAUCAACUUAUUUACAGAGAUUUCUUCACGUCAUGUCGAUAGAAAAGAUUAGACAAGACAGUAUGGAGUUUACUGAAUUUCUAUUUGUGUUAUAUACCAUGUAAAGGCAAAAUCUUCAUAUUUUUUUAUGGGUUUUCUACUUUUCCU